rnacentral:lncRNA from 1 species
GUCCUCCGCCGCCCGCCUCAGCGGCGGGGGCCGCUCAGGGCGCAGCAAGCCCCUCUCCCCCCGGGGAAGGUGGGGGGCAACGUCAACGUGUGCGCCCGCACACCGGGCACCAUUUUGUGAGCCACAGGAGGCCGGAGAGCCAUUUCCCGCGGGCAGCGCCGGUGCCAGCCAGAAGUUAGAGGCGGGGGGCGGCCCGUGCGGGGCAGCAGCCGCUCCUCUCGCCGCCAUGGCUCUCGGACACAGGGCUGCGGCGCUACUGGCUCUGCCGGGCGUUAAGCACUGACUUGCUCGGGCCGCCCUUUGCCGCCCCCCCCCCCCAACGGCUUCGCUGGGCGCUGCUUCUCCUCAGGGCCAUUACGCCUGCCCGGCUCGGGCGCCUGCUUGUGCUUCGCAGGAGGUUUAAGUAGUUUGCGUACCGCUCCUGCGAAGGAGGAAAGGAGAAUGGCCGCUACGCAAAGGCCUGACCGCAAGAGGGGUUCGUGAAUAGGGGAGGAACAAAAUAACUCUCCCAGCGCCUUAAGCCAAACCAAAAUGCGACGGAGGGAAGAGAACAGCCAGGGACACAAGCAGAGAGCAAGAGCAGGCGCCGCGGCGUGCCUCUUCUUUGCAGAGAGCGCUGCGUGCUUGCUGGGCGCAGAAAGGUGGAGGCCCGUCCAGGAGGAGGAAAGCCAGCCAAGGAGAAAUGACCUUUUCCACAGGAACGCGGGCCAGCGCUUUUAAGGGGGAGGGAAGAAGCUCGAGCGAACCAGAGAAGGGAAAACAAACACUGCCAAGUGGUCGGGCAGCCGGGGAAGCUUCCCCAGCCUCUGCCGGAAUGGCUCAGUGCGGGCACAGCAGCGAAGAGUUGCACGCCUGCAUUUUGGGAAAUAACGGAGAGAAGAAUCUUUGAUUCCUGCAUUUAUACAAUUUGUGUCCACAAGAUACUCAAUAGAGACUUGGAUAGAGGUCAUUCCUGCAAAGAUUGUGAUCUUCUCCACAUGCUGACUGCACAGCGUCUGGCUAAAUGAUACAGAAGCUACAGAGUCAGGGUUACCAACUGCAGUGGAGCUCUCGUCAAGUGCAGUAAUGCAGCCUGCAGGUCUCAUAACUGUGCGGCAAUGUACAGUGAAGAGGACCUCAGUCCAUCUACCAGGGCAGUGAAAGAUUCUGCCAAGCACCCUUUUCCUCCUUACCUGACCACGCAGGUGCUUGCUCCCAAAUGUGACAAAAGCGAGAGGAAAAAUAAAAUCACUACUGCCCUCUGGUAUCCCA